AUAAAGUCGACAAUAACGCAUUUACUGAAACAGACCAGCAUAGUAAAUCAAAGGAAGCAUUACCAAUACAUUCACCAGAAACAAAAGAAACCCAGUCUGAAGCAGCUUCAACAAACACAGGAGCUGCGAUGAAUAUAGAAAAUACCAAAUGCUGUCUCUCUGGAAUAGAACACAAAAAUGUUUGCAAGGUUGAGUGGAAAAUUGUUACUCCAGGAAACUGGGAUGCGGAAAGGAUUGCACGUGCAUUAAAUAAAGUUGCCGCCUUGUUGGAAGAGGUUUUUCAGAUUGAAUUCGUUAUGUUAGGAUCGUUGAUUAUCAAAACUAGUGUUCCUUUAAAAAAUAAUACAGAGCACGGAAUUAUUAGCUGAAGCAGUAGAGUCUUUUCUGAAAAAUAUAUUGGAGAAAUGCAGUAUUGAUACGAAAGAAUGUAAUGCUAUUCCAGUAUUUUUAACUUGUAGUGUGAGCGGUGAUACACCAAUAAGCGUAGCAACACAGACAGAUAAAUGUGAAAAUUGCUUAAAGCUGAAAACAGAUAACAAUGUGCUGACGGAACUGGUGGAUGAUUGGUAUAAAACAAUAACUGAAAUUUCUGGAGGAGUUACUUCUCAGCAACACUUGAAAAUUUGUAGCGUUUGUAAUGUUCUUAGUAAAUCGAUCAUCCAGUGUUGCUUCCGAUGUAACAAACCAAUGUGUAGCGAUUGUUCUUAACGACACAAAAAUGAAGCACUCCACGUCACGAACACCUUUAAACUUGGUGAUUUGAGAAUAGCAGAUAUCAAUUCAUUACGCGGUGGCAGAUUUGUUAUUGUCGAUGAUUGUUUUAAUUUCCUGGUCAGCUGUAAUAUGACAGAUCAGCAGGAGAUAUUGCAGUUGCCUGGCCAACCAUGGUGUAUCGCUGUUUUGGACAAUACUUCCGUUGCCGUUACUUUGCCUUGGGAGAAGCGGAUCUUAAUUGUCCAAGUAUUGCGAGAUUUAACAUUAACAAUUUUGCAGGAAAUAAGUACAAGUGAGCGAUAUUUUGGAAUUGAUUUGAUACAAGAACAUCUUUUGGUCGUUAGUUGUGAAAGCGAUGAACUGAUAGUAUUGGAUACUUUAGGGGAAAUGCAAUUUUCUGUAAAAAUCGAUUCCAUUCCUUAUUACUUCUGUACCGACAGUAAACAUGUGUUUUAUACUGACAACGUAAACAAUAGCGUGGUCUGUUUCGAUACAUCAGAAAACAAAAUGUUUCAAAUUGUUAAUCCAUUCAUGGAAGGACCAGAUGGAAUAACAACUGACGACUAUGGACACUUACUAGUUAUAUGUACACAGUCUCACAACAUAUUAAAAAUCAAUCCUGAUGACCAAAAUGUUGAAGUUUUGUGCACUUUGGGAUUGCAUGAGUUUGAUCUAUCAUGUGUACCACAUAUAUGUUAUGAUCCAGUGGUUAAAUCUAUCUUAUUUGGCAUGAAGAACACUGUCGAUUUUUUUUGCAAGCAGUAAUGUUUGAAAUCUUUCUUUUGUUGAUUAGAUACACCUUUUGAAAUAUGAUUUGUAUUGUUUUGAUAAAUAUUACUGUUGAUUGUCAUUUCUCGUUCAAAAAAUUAGUGUAAUGCUUUAUAAGGCAUUCGAAUAUAGUUAUCGCUUAAUAGUAUGUCCAUUGUUGGAUACUCACUGAACUGUGAAUGGAGCAAAGUGACAAUGUCCACAUUUCUUCUUCAAAAAACGUUACAAAUACGUCAUUUAUGUAUGCCGACGGACACAAAUUUACAAUGAAUUUAAAUUCACAGGUUUUUUUUCAAAUUUUUUAAUUAAAAAAAUAACUUCCUG